rnacentral:rRNA from 1 species
CAAUAGCGUAUAUUAAAGUUGUUGCAGUUAAAAAGCUCGUAGUCGGAUUUUGGUACCAAGCCGAACGGUCUGCCGAACGGUAUGCACUGUUUAGCGGGUACUUCCUUCCGGAAGCCCGUGCUCUCCUUAAUUGGAUGGCACGGUGAGUCCGGAUCAUUUACUUUGAAAAAUUAGAGUGUUUAAAGCAGGCGAUCGCUGUGAAUACAUUAGCAUGGAAUAAUGAGAUAGGACUUUGGUACUAUUUUGUUGGUUUGCGCACCAAGGUAAUGAUUAAUAGGGAUAGUUGGGGGUAUUCAUAUUCAAUUGUCAGAGGUGAAAUUCUUGGAUUUAUGGAAGAUGAACUUAUGCGAAAGCAUUUACCAAGGAUGUUUUCAUUAAUCAAGAACGAAAGUUAGGGGAUCGAAGAUGAUCAGAUACCAU